rnacentral:rRNA from 1 species
UCCGUAGGUGAACCUGCGGAAGGAUCAUUAUCGA